GAUGAACGCUGGCGGCGUGCCUAAUACAUGCAAGUCGAGCGAACCACUUCGGUGGUGAGCGGCGAACGGGUGAGUAACACGUAGGUGAUCUGCCCAUCAGACGGGGACAACGAUUGGAAACGAUCGCUAAUACCGGAUAGGACGAAAGUUUAAAGGUGCUUCUGGCACCGCUGAUGGAUGAGCCUGCGGCGCAUUAGCUAGUUGGUAGGGUAGAGGCCUACCAAGGCGACGAUGCGUAGCCGACCUGAGAGGGUGAACGGCCACACUGGGACGGAGACACGGCCCAGACUCCUACGGGAGGCAGCAGUAGGGAAUCUUCGGCAAUGGGCGAAAGCCUGACCGAGCAACGCCGCGUGAAUGAUGAAGGCCUUCGGGUUGUAAAAUUCUGUUAUAAGGGAAGAACGACUUUAGUAGGAAAUGGCUAGAGUGUGACGGUACCUUAUGAGAAAGCCACGGCUAACUACGUGCCAGCCGCCGCCGUAACAC
rnacentral:rRNA from 1 species